rnacentral:lncRNA from 13 species
GUCAGCACGGUGAAGAAGACAAAUAUCAUCUUUGUGUUAUUAAGAAAACAGUUUUGACCUUGCAAACCACUUCUGUGGGUCUUGGGUCACCACCCGGGGCUCUACAGAGCACACUCUGAGAACUGUUUACAGUUGGGAUGUGUUUUUCUGGUAAGCUGUCUAGAGGUAGGUUAUUACUGGUUUGGGUUUGGAGAUAUAGCAGGAUCAGAAGUUUAGGCAGAUGUCUCUGAAAUCCUCUUGGCCUUUUUUCCCACAAUGCUAACAUUGCUGUAGGAGCCCCAGACAUCAUGUCCUCAUUCAGCAUUCAAAGUGGUGAAGAGCGGGCAGCACCAGGCAGAGGAUUCUUCUUAUUCCUCUUGUAUCAGAAAGAGGUACAUCAGUCAGGAUCACCUGAAGUCAGGAGUUCAAGACCAGCCUCGAACUUCAGGGAGAAGCAAUUCAAUGUAUGUCGACAAAAAGCAGGACUGAGAAGAGCUGAACUGGUCCAAGAACUUAUGAAAUCCCCACAUUCAAGGAGACUUUCUCUAAGGAGAAAUGCCCCUCUUUGGAAGUCCAGGGAGCUUGCACGCUGAAUAGAAAGGCAGAGCCGUCCCUCCCUGGAGAGUCUCUGAAGACCCCAUCUGCCCAGCUAGCUAAUACGAGCUCUGGAAACAUUCUGCCUUUUAGUCUACAUCAAGGCUAGAAGCCAAGCAAGGUGUCACAGCCCUUCAUAACUUAAUGAGAAAUGAAGCUGAACACUAUCCAAGGCAAAAAGACAGGGUGUCUUCAGUACUACUGCAAAAGCAAAGAGCAGGCUCGAUUGCCAACUCAAGGACAAGUGGGGACCGAGGAGCUGGGUGGAGGUGGGGCGCUGGCAGAUGGAAAAUGGAGAGGACCUUGACGGUAGUGGGUGUCUUACUAAACUAACCUAACAGGAUGCUUGCUGCAGGCAGGCUGGGAUGGUUGGAUACCAAGGGGAGAGGGGGACUUUAUGGGAUUCUUUGCUAAGACUGGCUCAGGCAGGCUGAAAGCGGGGCCCAAGGACGAGGCCUUGGUGAAAAGAGGGCAGGAGGAGCCUGUCUGAAGUUGGUCAAGCAAUGAGUUAUUAUCAUGUUCAC